GUGAGUCUCAAACUCUAACAUUUCAAAUGUGUUUAAUCAAACUGAAACAAGAUGGACAACAUGAGGCGACAUUCACUGGGGUACAGCUCUGUUCUUCAACAACUUGUGCCAUCAUCUCACAAUGAAGUGUAGAGGACCAGUCUUUAUGUACAUAGUUUUACACACACAAGCUAAUAUCCACUAUCUGUAUACAACAUACACAAGACGUUUAGUACUGUAUUCCCGAACAGCUUAGGAGGGAAAUGCAUAGUUUGAUAGUGUCACAAUGCCACACACUGUCUCUACAUGGAAAAAUGAACAUGGAGUUUGGUCCUUAAAAUAGACACCAAAAAUAAAAACAAAUCUAAACAUCGUUAUAUAUAUGUAUAUAUGUGUGUGUGUGUG